rnacentral:rRNA from 1 species
GACGAACGCUGGCGGCGUGCUUAACACAUGCAAGUCGAACGGAAAGGCCCUCAUCUUGGUGUGGGUGCGUGAGUGACGAACGGGUGAGUAACACGUGGUUGAUCUUCCCUUUACUUCGGGAUAUGCUUGGGAAACUGGGUCUACUACCGGAUAGGAUCAUGGUUUUGUGUGUUGUGGUGUUAUUUUUAUUGUUUUUGUGCAGGCUGCGAGCGCGGCCUUUGAGCGUGUUGGUGGGGUGAUGGCCUGCCAAGGGGGCGACGGGUAGCCGGCGUGAGUGGGUGGACAGCGAGAGUGGAACUGAGAAAUGGGCCAGAGACCUGCGGGAGGCAGCAGUGGGGAGUAUUGGAGGAGAGGCGCAAGCCAGGGGCAGCGACGCGGCGUGGGGGAUGACGGUGUGCGAGUUGUAAACUCCUGUCGUUAGGGACGAAGCCACGCUUUUUAGGUGUGGGGACCGGUACUUAGAGAAGAAGCACCGGCUAACUACGUG